UGGGGAAUAUUGCGCAAUGGCCGCAAGGCUGACGCAGCGACGCCGCGUGGGGGAUGAAGCAUUUCGGUGUGUAAACCCCUGUUGCCCGGGACGAACCUCCCCUUUCGAGGGGACUGACGGUACCGGGUGAGGAAGCACCGGCUAACUCCGUGCCAGCAGCCGCGGUAAUACGGAGGGUGCGAGCGUUGUCCGGAAUCACUGGGCGUAAAGGGCGCGUAGGCGGUGACUUAAGCGUGUGGUGAAAGCCCGGGGCUCAACCCCGGGUCGGCCGUGCGAACUGGGUCACUCGAGCACUGUAGAGGCAGGUGGAAUUCCGGGUGUAGCGGUGGAAUGCGUAGAGAUCCGGAAGAACACCAGUGGCGAAGGCGGCCUGCUGGGCAGUAGCUGACGCUGAGGCGCG
rnacentral:rRNA from 1 species